GCGGUAUCCUAACCGUGCAAGGUAGCGUAAUCACUUGUUUUCUAAAUAAAGACCUGUAUGAAAGGCACCACGAGAGCUAAGCUGUCUCCUUUUUCCAAUCAGUGAACCUAAUCUCCCCGUGAAAAAGCAGGGAUUAAAAUAUAAGACGAAAAGACCCUGUGGAGCUUAAAACAUUGAUUUUAUGUUUCGGUUGGGGUGACCGCGGAGAAAAACUUAUCCUCCACAAUGAAAAAAAAUACAAUUUUGAGCAUCAAUUGAUCAAUGAACCAAGUUACCCCAGGGAUAACAGCACCAUCCGCUUUAAGAGCCCCUAUCGACAAGCGGGCUUAUGACCUCGAUGUUGGAUCGGGGUAUCCUAGUGGUGCAGCCGCUACUAAAGGUUCGUUUG
rnacentral:rRNA from 1 species